rnacentral:rRNA from 1 species
UACGAAGGGGGCUAGCGUUGCUCGGAAUCACUGGGCGUAAAGCGCACGUAGGCGGCUUACUAAGUCAGGGGUGAAAUCCUGGAGCUCAACUCCAGAACUGCCUUUGAUACUGGUGAGCUUGAGUCCGGGAGAGGUGAGUGGAACUGCGAGUGUAGAGGUGAAAUUCGUAGAUAUUCGCAAGAACACCAGUGGCGAAGGCGGCUUACUGGCCCGGUACUGACGCUGAGGUGCGAAAGCGUGGGGAGCAAACAGG